rnacentral:lncRNA from 12 species
UCCUUCGUCCACUUCACGGCUCUUUCUGGAGGACUUCUGUGCACCUGAUGCUGUCCCCAGGCACCAGGCACGACGCCGUUUAUAAUCUAGUGGGAUGAGACAGACGCACAAAACCAACAUAGCAGAACAGCGGUUGAACCAUCGUGCACACCAGCCACCCCCAGAAAUGCCCAUCUGUGCUGGUCCAAAGGCAUCGCCCUCAGAUCCCCUAGAGCUGCCUGGAGAGCAACCCCUUCCCACCUCCAGGAAGUCGAAAGCAGGAGUCACGCCCGGCGGGGGCACCUGCACACAGUUCCCCCACCCCACCUCCAGGACCUCCCAGCAGCAAAGUCACGGGGCCUCAUCUACCACCAACACAUCUGCCGCCUGGAACCUUCCUCGCCGAUUCUAUUUCUGCUCCCCUUGGCAGCUCUGUGGAAAUUAAAAGGCUAUUUGCAGUGACUAAUGUUGCUAAUUCUGAUCAAACAAUUUAAAAUUCAUCCUUCGCCAUAUCGGAGACCCGCUAGGGAACAGAAUUAACACAUCAUUCGUGGCAAUUUCUAUGACGGUUGGUGGAAAACAAAACAAAAAAAAAGACGUGAAAACUGGUCUUAAUUCGAACCACUGCUCAUUAAACUGCCUUCUCUAGAAUAUCCCAUCUUGAUCCAUAUGAUCGCUCCCCGUCUGCUCCCAGCUUAGUAACUGAGAGCAAGACUUGCGGAUGCGGACAAGCGGGCUCCAAGGCCCUGGAAACUUGCCUGCAAUCUGGCGGGGAUGCAGCCUCCAGCCAGGUCCACCUGCCUUUGAGCCACCCUGUCCUGAGAUGGGAUGUGGCCCCUGUGGCCAUAAGUUAAAAUUCAGGAAGCCAAGUAUUAGACUCGAGCUUCCCUGUGUCCCCCCAAACUUGACUUGUUCGCGUACCCUGUGCCAUCUUGCCCACGACCAUGUUCUAUUAUUUCCUUAAUCAAAACCAACCCCUUUAAAAAUGCUAUGAAUCCAUGAAUGUAAUUUAUACAAAUAAUUUAAUUCGUCUUUAUAACGUGGAUAAUACAUAUUGAUUAAAUUCAUAGAUUCAUUGCAUUUUAAAUAGAGAACUUGAGAGCGUUAUUAUAAAUGGAAAGGCAACAUCACAAAUGAUAAAUAAACACCAAGGGUAAAAAUAGAUAUCA